rnacentral:rRNA from 1 species
GAUGAACGCUGGCGGCGUGCCUAAUACAUGCAAGUCGAGCGAACAGACGAGGAGCUUGCUCCUCUGACGUUAGCGGCGGACGGGGGAGUAACACGUGGAUAACCUACCUAUAAGACUGGGAUAAAUUCGGGAAACCGGAGCUAAUACCGGAUAAUAUAUUGAACCGCAUGGUUCAAUAGUGAAAGACGGUUUUGCUGUCACUUAUAGAUGGAUCCGCGCCGCAUUAGCUAGUUGGUAAGGUAACGGCUUACCAAGGCAACGAUGCGUAGCCGACCUGAGAGGGUGAUCGGCCACACUGGAACUGAGACACGGUCCAGACUCCUACGGGAGGCAGCAGUAGGGAAUCUUCCGCAAUGGGCGAAAGCCUGACGGAGCAACGCCGCGUGAGUGAUGAAGGUCUUCGGAUCGUAAAACUCUGUUAUUAGGAAAGAACAAAUGUGUAAGUAACUAUGCACGUCUUGACGGUACCUAAUCAGAAAGCCACGGCUAACUACGUG